rnacentral:rRNA from 1 species
CUACGGGAGGCACCAGUUAGGGAUAUUCGGCAAUGGGGGAAACCCUGACCGAGCAAUGCCGCGUGAAUGAAGAAGUAUUUCGAUAUGUAAAGUUCUGUUGUUAAGGAAGAAAGGUACGAAUAGGAAAUGAUUCGUAAUUGACGAUACUUAACCAGAAAGCCCCUGCUAACUACGUGCCAGCAGCAGCGGUAAUACGUAGGGGGCGAUCGUUAUCCGUAAUUAUUGGGCGUAAAGGGUGCGUAGGCGGCCUGUCAAGUCCGAGUUGAAAGCCCACGGCUUAACCGUGGAGGGUGCUCGGAAACUGAUAGGCUUGAAUCCAGAAGAGGCAAGUGGAAUUCUAUGUGGAGCGGUGGAAUGCGUAGAUAUAUGGAGGAACACCAGUGGCGAAGGCGGCUUGCUGGGCUGGUAUUGACGCUGAUGCACGAAAGCGUGGGGAGCAAACAGGAUUAGAUACCCGCGUAGUC